rnacentral:rRNA from 1 species
GCGAURCCGCGAAUGGCUCAAUAUAUCAGUUUUGGUUCCUUAGAUCUUACUCCCAGUUACUUGGAUAACUGUGGCAAUUCUAGAGCUAAUACAUGCAAUCAGAACUCUGACCAGUGAUGGAAUGAGUGCUUUUAUUAGAUCAAAACCAAUCGACGGAGGUUUCGGCCGAUGUCGUUCACUUUGAUGAAUCUGGAUAACUUUUGCCGAUCGCACGGUCUCGCACCGGCGACGCAUCUUUCAAAUGUCUGCCUUAUCAACUUUCGAUGGUAGUUUCUGCGACUACCAUGGUUGUCACGGGUAACGGGGAAUCAGGGUUCGAUUCCGGAGAGGGAGCCUGAGAAACGGCUACCACAUCCAAGGAAGGCAGCAGGCGCGCAAAUUACCCACUCCCGGCACGGGGAGGUAGUGACGAAAAAUAACGAUACGGGACUCUUAUGAGGCCUCGUAAUCGGAAUGAGUACACUUUAAAUAUUUUAACGAGGAACAAUUGGAGGGCAAGUCUGGUGCCAGCAGCCGCGGUAAUUCCAGCUCCAAUAGCGUAUACUAAAAUUGUUGCGGUUAAAAAGCUCGUAGUUGCAUUUGUGCGCMGBGCUGUCGGUGCAUCUGCCUCUGGCGGUGAUACUGACACGUCCGCGGAGCAUAUCGUCGGRGAC